CGUUCGAUGAAUACCGGUUAAUCUUGUGCCAGCAGCAGCGGUAAUGCAAGUGGUGUAAACGUUCUAUAGGUUGAUUAGGUGUAAAGAGUGAUUUGGACAUGAGGUUUAUAUGUGUAGUGAAAAUUUAUUAUCAGUGUCACGGACGAAGUCAUUAGAGUAAUUCUAGAUUUGAUGUGGUGUAGGAAUGUGAAUUGUAAUGGUGAAAUCUGUAUAUAAUUGGUAGAAAA
rnacentral:rRNA from 1 species